GCCUAGCCGUAACAUACAAUUAAACCACCAAUUGUCCGCCAAACAACUACGAGUAUACUUAAAACUUAAAAGACUUGACGGUGCUUCACCACGCCCUAGAGGAGCCUGUCUAGUAACCGAUAAUCCACGAUUAACCCAGCCCCCUCUGGCCUAACAGUCUAUAUACCGCCGUCGCCAGCUUACCUUGUAAAAGAAAUAAAGUAAGCCAAAUAGCAUCACACUUAAACGACAGGUCGAGGUGUAACUAAUGAGAGGGACUAAGAUGGGCUACAUUCUCUCAACUGAGGAUACGAACAACACUAUGAAAUUAGUGUUUAAAGGCGGAUUUAGCAGUAAGAUAAGAAUAAAACACUUAACUGAACAUAACGCAAUGAAGUGCGUACACACCGCCCGUCACCCCGUCCACCACCACAAUACACAUUUAAUUAAACCAACCAAAAACAUAAACCAGGGCAAGUCGUAACAUGGUAAGUGUACUGGAAAGUGCACUU
rnacentral:rRNA from 1 species